GGGAGGCGCCACCGGCGGGGAAUUCCGCACACGCCUGCGCGGGGCCAGCGGCGGCGGGCAGGGCGGGCCCAGGGCCCCGUGACCCGAGGGGCGACAGCGCGCGGCAGGCGGCGAGCUCGGGGACCGCAGAAAAUGAAACUGAAGCCGUGGUCACGUGACAGGAGAUGUAGUAUAUAGCAGGCUGCCGGCGACUCCUGCUCUUGCUUCCGGAUCUGCAGGGCAGUCCCAGCAGGACCCAUGGAGUGUCCUUCGUGCCAGCAUGUCUCCAAGGAGGAAACCCCCAGGUUCUGCAGCCAGUGCGGAGAGAGGCUGCCUCCUGCAGCCCCCAUAGCAGAUUCUGAGAACAAUAACUCCACAAUGGCCUCGGCCUCGGAGGGUGAAAUGGAGUCUGGGCAGGAGCUGAAGGAGGAAGGGGGCCCGUGCUUGUUCCCGGGCUCAGACAGUUGGCAAGAAAACCCCGAGGAGCCCUGUUCCAAAGCCUCCUGGACCGUCCAAGAAGGAGCUACAUCAGAGGUUUUGGUAGAUGCUACUGUAGACCUCAUAUCCGAUGAAUGGGAAGCUGCUAAUGCCACACCCAGCAAGAGAAGGAAGCAGGAUGCAGCCCCGCUUGAGGCCGCCAGCGUGCCUUCUGCAGACUGUGAGCAGAGCAAAAAGAAGAAAAGGAAGAAGAAAAAGAAGGGGAACAAGUCCGCUUCCUCAGAGCUGGCUUCCUUGCCCCUGUCUCCUGCCAGCCCCUGUCACCUGACUUUGCUUUCAAACCCGUGGCCUCAGGACACAGCCCUGCCCCACAGCCAAGCCCAGCAGAGUGGCCCCACUGGCCAGCCGAGCCAGCCCCCGGGCACAGCCACCACGCCACUGGAGGGUGACGGCCUCUCCGCGCCCACCGAGGUUGGCGACAGCCCCCUGCAGGCCCAGGCUUUGGGAGAGGCAGGAGUGGCCACAGGAAGUGAGGCUCAGAGCAGCCCCCAAUCCCAGGACCACACGGAAGGGGAGGACCAGGACGCUUCCAUCCCCUCUGGGGGCAGAGGCCUGUCCCAGGAGGGGACCGGUCCCCCUACCUCUGCUGGUGAAGGCCAUUCUAGGACUGAAGAUGCUGCCCAGGAGCUCCUGUUGCCUGAGUCAAAAGGAGGCAGCUCUGAGCCCAGGACAGAACUGCAGACCACCGAGCAACAGGCAGGGGCCUCAGCCUCUACGGCAGUUGAUGCUGCAGCUGAGCCAGCCAAUGCAGUUAAAGGGGCCGGGAAGGAAAUGAAAGAGAAGACCCAGAGAAUGAAACAGCCGCCAGCAACCACUCCUGCUUCCAAAACACACUGCCAGGAAGCUGAGACCAAGACCAAGGACGAGAUGGCUGCUGCUGAAGAAAAAGUUGGUAAAAAUGAGCGAGGGGAGCCUGAAGACCUCAAGAAGCCAGAGGGGAAGAACAGAAGUGCAGCUGCUGUGAAAAACGAGAAGGAGCAAAAAAACCAGGAAGCAGAUGUCCAGGAAGUGAAGGCAAGCAUGCUGAGCCCGGGCGGAGGAGUCACCGUGUUCUUCCACGCCAUCAUCUCUCUUCAUUUCCCAUUCAUUCCUGACCUCCAUAAAGUCGUCAUCAGAGGAGGAGAAGAAUUUGGGGGGUCAAAAUGGGACAGCAAUGUCUGUGAGCUGCACUACACCAGAGACUUGGGUCAUGACCGCGUUCUUGUUGAAGGCAUUGUCUGCAUUUCCAAGAAGCACCUAGAUAAAUACAUUCCUUACAAGUACGUCAUUUAUAAUGGGGAAUCUUUUGAGUAUGAGUUCAUUUACAAGCACCAGCAGAAGAAGGGCGAGUACGUCAACCGCUGUCUGUUCAUAAAAUCUUCACUUCUGGGCUCAGGAGACUGGCAUCAGUACUAUGACAUAGUUUAUAUGAAGCCUCAUGGGAGACUCCAGAAAGUCAUGAGCCACAUCAUAGACGGGCCGAGGAAGGACCUGGUGAAGGGGAAGCAGAUUGCCGCUGUGCUCAUGCUGGACAGCACCUUCAGCAUCCUGCAGACCUGGGACACCAUGAACCUGAACAGCUUCUUCACCCAGUUCGAGCAGUUUUGCUUUGUCCUGCAACAGCCUAUGAUUUAUGAAGGACAGGCACAGCUGUGGACCGAUUUGCAGUACAGGGAGAAAGAGGUGAAGAGAUACCUGUGGCAACAUCUGAAAAAGCACGUGGUAUCAUUGCUGUACGGAAAAAGCACGGACUCUUUGCCUAUGGACUGCCCAGUGAGGAGUAAACUGAAAAUAGGCCUGAUUGUCCUUUUUGUAGUGGAAAAAAUUGAGCUUUUAUUAGAAGGCAGCCUGGACUGGUUGUGUCACCUCCUAAUCUCAGAUGCCAGCUCACCAGAUGAGUUUCACCAUGACCUAAGCCACAUCCUUGGGAUACCUCAGAGCUGGCGGCUCUACCUGGUGAACCUGUGCCAAAGAUGCAUGGACACAAGGACGUACGCCUGGCUGGGCACCCUGCCUGUCCUGCACUGCUGUAUGGAGCUGGCCCCGCGGCACAAGGAUGCCUGGAGACAGCCUGAGGACACCUGGGCCGCUCUGGAGGGACUCUCCUUCUCACCGUUCCGGGAACAAAUGCUAGAUACGAGCUCCCUACUUCAGUUUAUGAGAGAGAAGCAGCAUUUGCUGAGCAUAGACGAGCCUCUCUUCCGGUCCUGGUUUAGUCUGCUACCUCUGAGUCACCUGGUUAAGUAUAUGGAAAACUUCAUUGAGCACCUGGGUCGUUUUCCUGCUCAUAUCCUGGACUGUUUUUCAGGGAUUUACUACCGGCUUCCGGGACUUGAGCAAGUCUUGAAUAUGCAGGAUGUUCAGGAUGUUCAGAACGUUCAGAACAUUUUAGAAAUGCUGUUGCGACUCCUGGACACUUACCGGGACAAGAUUCCCGAGGAGGCCUUGUCACCAUCCUACCUGACUGUGUGUCUGAAACUGCAUGAAGCCAUCUGCAGCAGCACAAAGCUACUUAAGUUUUACGAGCUGCCAGCCUUAUCUGCCGAGAUUGUCUGCAGAAUGAUUAGACUUCUAUCUCUGGUGGAUUCUGCAGGACAGGGAGAUGAAACUGGAAAUAAUUCAGUCCAAACAGUCGUCCAAGGGACCCUUGCUGCUACGAAAAGGUGGCUCCGAGAAGUUUUUACAAAGAACAUGCUCACAUAUUCAGGUGCCUCAUUCACAUACGUCAAGGAAAUUGAGGUCUGGAGGCGGCUGGUGGAAAUCCAAUUCCCCGCGGAGCAUGGCUGGAAGGAGUCGUUGCUGGGAGACAUGGAAUGGAGGCUCACAAAGGAGGAACCCCUCUCCCAGAUCACUGCCUACUGCAAUAGUUGCUGGGACACCAAAGGCUUAGAGGACAGUGUGGCCAAGACCUUCGAGAAAUGCAUCAUUGAAGCCGUGAGCUCAGCCUGCCAGUCUCAGACCAGUAUCCUUCAGGGGUUCUCUUACUCUGAUUUGCGGAAAUUUGGCAUCGUCUUGUCUGCUGUGAUCACUAAGUCCUGGCCUAGGACCGCGGACAACUUCGAUGACAUUUUAAAGCAUCUGCUCACGUUGGCAGAUGUCAAGCACGUCUUCAGAUUGUGUGGAACCGACGAGAAAAUACUAGCAAAUGUCACAGAGGAUGCCAAGAGGCUGAUAGCUGUUGCCGACUCUGUGUUGACGAAAGUUGUUGGUGACCUCCUAAAUGGCACGAUUUUAGUUGGACAACUGGAGCUGAUUAUAAAGCACAAGAAUCAGUUUCUUGACAUCUGGCAACUGAGGGAAAAAAGUCUUUCACCCCAGGAUGAAAAAUGUGCUGUGGAGGAAGCACUGUAUUGGAGAAGGGAGGAACUGUUAUUUCUAAAGAAAGAGAAAAGAUGUGUUGAUAGUCUCCUGAAGAUGUGUGCGAACGUGAAACAUCUGAUACAAGUGGACUUUGGAGUGCUUGCAGUAAGACACUCACAAGACCUCAGCAGUAAAAGAUUAAAUGACGCCGUGACAGUGAGACUGUCCACCUCCUCGAACUCGCAGAGGACAACGCAUUACCACCUGAGCUCCCAGGUCCAAGAAAUGGCUGGGAAGAUAGACUUGCUCAGAGACAGCCACAUCUUCCAGAUCUUCUGGCGGGAAGCCGCAGAGCCGCUGAGUGAGCCUAAGGAGGACCAGGAAGCCGCAGAGUUGCUGAGUGAGCCCGAAGAAGAAUCAGAAAGGCACAUCCUUGAGCUUGAAGAGGUGUAUGACUAUUUGUAUCAGCCUUCUUACAGAAAGUUCAUUAAGUUGCACCAGGAUCUAAAGUCAGGAGAGGUCACCCUUGCAGAGAUUGAUGUCAUCUUCAAGGACUUUGUGAAUAAAUACACGGACCUGGAUUCAGAACUUAAGAUCAUGUGCACUGUGGACCACCAGGGCCAAAGAGAUUGGAUCAAGGACCGAGUCGAACAGAUCGAGGAAUACCAUCACCUGCACCAGGCUGUCCACGCAGCCAAGGUCAUCUUGCAGGUCAAAGAGAGCCUGGGACUGACCGGUGACUUCAGUGUUCUCAACACUUUACUAAAUUUUACUGAUAACUUCGACGACUUUCGCCAUGAAACACUGGACCAGAUCAACCAGGAGCUCAUCCAGGCCAAAAAGCUGCUCCAGGACAUCAGUGAGGCCCGGUGCAAGGGGCUGCAGGCUCUGUCCCUGAGAAAGGAGUUCAUCUGCUGGGUCCGGGAGGCUCUUGGAGGCAUCAAUGAGCUGAAGGUGUUUGUGGACCUGGCCUCCAUCUCAGCGGGGGAGAAUGACAUUGACGUAGGCCGGGUGGCCUGCUUCCAUGACGCUGUGCAGGGCUACGCAUCCCUGCUAUUUAAGCUGGACCCCAGCGUGGACUUCAGUGCAUUCAUGAAGCAUCUGAAAAAGCUGUGGAAGGCUCUGGAUAAGGACCAGUACCUGCCCAGGAAACUGUGUGACUCCGCCAGGAACUUGGAAUGGCUGAAGACUGUGAAUGAGAGUCAUGGGUCUGUGGAACGCUCAUCCCUGACCCUGGCCACGGCCAUCAACCAAAGAGGCAUCUAUGUGAUCCAGGCACCCAAAGGUGGCCAAAAGAUUUCCCCAGACACGGUUCUGCACUUGAUCCUUCCUGAGAGCCCUGGCAGCCACGAGGAGUCGCGAGAGUACUCUUUAGAGGAGGUGAAGGAGCUUUUGAACAAGUUGAUGCUGAUGUCUGGCAAGAAGGAUCGUAACAACACGGAAGUGGAGAGGUUUUCAGAGGUCUUCUGCAGUGUGCAGAGGCUCAGCCAGGCCUUCAUCGACCUGCACUCUGCUGGGAAUAUGCUGUUCAGGACGUGGAUCGCCAUGGCCUACUGCUCCCCCAAGCAGGGUGUGUCCCUGCAAAUGGACUUUGGCUUGGACCUGGUGACGGAGCUUAAAGAAGGUGGAGAUGUCACUGAGCUGCUGGCAGCCCUCUGCAGGCAGAUGGAGCACUUCCUUGACAGCUGGAAGAGAUUCGUGACCGAGAAGCGAAUGGAGCACUUUUACCUGAACUUCUACACGGCAGAGCAGCUGGUUUACCUGAGCACUGAGCUCAGGAAGCAGCCCCCGAGUGAUGCCGCCCUAACGAUGCUAUCCUUCAUCAAAAGCAACUGCACCCUGAGGGAUGUCUUAAGGGCCUCUGUGGGGUGUGGGAGUGAGGUCGCCAGGUACCACAUGAGGAGAGUCAUGGAAGAGCUCCCGCUGAUGCUCUUAUCAGAGUUCAGCCUGGUGGACAAGCUGAGGAUCAUCAUGGAGCAGUCCAUGAGGUGCCUUCCUGCCUUCCUGCCCGACUGCCUCGACCUAGAGACCCUUGGCCACUGUCUGGCUUACCUGGCAGGGAUGGGUGGGUCUCCCGUGGAGCGUCGUCUCCCGAGAGGUCUGCAGGUCGGCCAGCCCAACCUCGUCGUCUGUGGCCACUCCGAGGUGUUGCCAGCCGCCCUGGCUGUCUACAUGCAAACCCCAAGCCAGCCCCUGCCCACUUACGAUGAGGUGCUGCUCUGCACCCCGGCAACCACCUUUGAGGAGGUGGCACUGUUGCUGCGCCGCUGCCUGACCCUGGGCUCCCUGGGGCACAAGGUCUACAGCCUGCUGUUCGCAGAUCAGCUGAGCUACGAGGUGGCACGUCAAGCGGAGGAGCUUUUCCACAAUCUGUGCACGCAGCAGCACCGAGAAGACUACCAGCUCGUCAUGGUCUGUGAUGGGGACUGGGAGCACUGCUACCUCCCCUCUGCCUUCAGCCAGCACAAGGUCUUCGUCACCCCCCAGGCACCCCUCGAGGCCAUCCAAGCCUACCUGGCAGGUCACUACCGGGUCCCAGAGCAGACCCUGUCGGCGGCGGCCGUGUUCAAUGACCGGCUGUGUGUUGGGAUCGUGGCCUCGGAGCGAGCAGGUGUUGGAAAGUCUCUGUACGUGAAGAGGUUGCAUGACAAAAUGAAGAUGCAGUUAAACGUGAAAAAUGUGCCUCUGAAAACAAUUCGACUGAUCGACCCUCAGGUGGAUGAGAGCCGAGUCCUGGGCGCCCUGCUGCCCUUCCUGGAUGCGCAGUAUCAGAAGGUCCCCGUGCUCUUUCACCUGGAUGUGACCUCCUCAGUGCAGACUGGAAUUUGGGUGUUUCUUUUCAAGCUCCUCAUUUUACAAUACUUAAUGGAUAUAAAUGGGAAAAUGUGGCUUCGGAACCCCUGCCAUUUGUAUAUCGUUGAAAUCCUGGAAAGGAGGACAUCAGUGCCGUCGAGGAGCUCUUCAGCGCUGCGUACACGUGUCCCCCGGUUCAGUUUUCUUGACAUCUUCCCAAAAGUCACCUGCAGGCCUCCCAAAGAGGUGAUAGACAUGGAGCUGAGUGCCCUGAGGAGUGACACAGAGCCUGGGAUGGAUCUGCGGGAGUUCUGCAGCGAAACUUUCCAAAGACCUUACCAGUAUUUAAGACGAUUCAAUCAAAACCAAGACCUAGACACGUUUCAGUAUCAAGAAGGCUCUGUCGAAGGCACCCCGGAGGAAUGCCUCCAGCAUUUCCUGUUUCACUGCGGGGUAAUAAACCCAUCCUGGUCAGAGCUUCGGAACUUUGCUCGGUUCCUGAAUUAUCAGCUCAGAGAUUGUGAGGCCUCUCUCUUCUGCAAUCCGAGUUUUAUUGGCGACACACUGAGGGGCUUCAAGAAGUUCGUGGUGACCUUCAUGAUCUUUAUGGCAAGAGAUUUUGCCACACCAUCACUCCACACCUCUGACCAAAGCCCAGGGAAGCACAUGGUCACCAUGGAUGGGGUUAGGGAAGAAGAUCUAGCGCCCUUCUCCCUCCGGAAGAGGUGGGAGUCGGAGCCUCACCCAUACGUUUUCUUCAAUGAUGACCACACAACCAUGACAUUCAUCGGCUUCCAUCUGCAGCCCAACAUCAACGGCAGUGUCGAUGCCAUCAAUCACUUGACUAGGAAGGUCAUCAAGAGAGACGUCAUGACCAGGGACCUGUACCAGGGCCUGCUGCUCCAGAGGGUGCCCUUCAAUGUUGACUUUGAUAAACUGCCCAGACACAAGAAACUUGAGAGGCUCUGCCUGACCUUAGGGAUCCCCCAGGCCACCGACCCCGACAAAACGUAUGAGCUCACAACCGACAAUAUGCUUAAAAUCCUUGCCAUCGAGAUGCGGUUCCGGUGUGGGAUCCCGGUUAUCAUCAUGGGAGAAACUGGCUGUGGGAAAACCAGGCUUAUUAAAUUCCUUAGCGACCUGCGGCGUGGUGGUACCAAUGCUGACACCAUAAAGCUGGUCAAGGUGCACGGAGGAACAACUGCAGACAUGAUCUACUCCAGAGUCAGGGAGGCUGAAAAUGUGGCCUUCGCCAAUAAGGACCAACAUCAGUUGGACACCAUCUUGUUUUUUGAUGAAGCCAACACAACGGAAGCUAUAAGCUGUAUCAAAGAAGUCCUGUGUGAUCAUAUGGUGGACGGCCAGCCUCUGGCUGAGGACUCUGGCCUACAUAUUAUAGCUGCCUGCAAUCCAUACCGGAAGCACUCUGAGGAGAUGAUCUGCCGUUUGGAGUCAGCUGGUUUGGGCUACAGGGUUAGUAUGGAGGAGACGGCCGACAGGCUGGGCUCCAUUCCUCUGAGGCAGCUGGUAUACCGGGUCCAUGCUCUGCCCCCGAGCCUGAUUCCUCUGGUGUGGGACUUUGGACAACUGAGUGACGUUGCUGAAAAGCUCUACAUCCGGCAGAUUGUCCAGAGACUGGUUGAUUCCAUCAGCCUAGAUGAAAACGGGACUCACGUGAUCACAGAAGUCCUCUGCGCCUCUCAGGGUUUCAUGAGGAAAACAGAAGAUGAGUGCAGCUUUGUCAGCCUCAGGGACGUGGAGCGCUGUGUGAAAGUUUUCAGGUGGUUCCACGAGCACAGCGCGAUGCUCUUAGCGCAGCUGAAUGCCUUUCUCUCCAAGUCCAGCGUCAGCAAAAAUCACACCGAGAGAGAUCCCGUCCUCUGGUCGUUGAUGCUGGCCAUCGGGGUGUGUUACCACGCCUCUUUAGAAAAGAAAGACUCAUAUCGGAAAGCCAUCGCCAGGUUCUUUCCGAAACCGUAUAACGACAGCAGGCUGCUUCUGGAUGAAAUAACACAGGCACAGGAUCUUUUUCUGGACGGCGUACCUCUGAGGAAAACCAUCGCCAAGAACUUGGCCUUGAAGGAGAACUUCUUCAUGAUGGUCAUCUGCAUCGAGCUGAAGAUUCCCCUCUUCCUGGUGGGGAAGCCCGGCAGCUCCAAGUCUCUCGCCAAGACCAUCGUGGCAGACGCCAUGCAGGGCCCGGCCGCCUACUCAGAUCUCUUCCGCAGCCUGAAGCAGGUCCACCUGGUGUCCUUCCAGUGCAGCCCGCACUCCACCCCACAGGGCAUCAUCAGCACCUUCCGGCAGUGCGCCCGCUUUCAGCAGGGGAAGGACCUGCAGCAGUACGUCUCUGUGGUGGUGUUAGAUGAGGUGGGGCUGGCGGAAGACUCACCCAAAAUGCCCCUGAAGACUCUGCACCCGCUGCUGGAAGACGGAUGCAUUGAAGACGAUCCCGCCCCCCACAAAAAGGUCGGCUUCGUGGGCAUCUCCAACUGGGCCCUUGACCCUGCCAAGAUGAACCGGGGCAUUUUUGUGUCACGUAGCAGCCCCAACGAGACAGAGCUCAUAGAGAGCGCCAAGGGCAUCUGCUCCUCAGACAUCCUCGUCCAGGACCGAGUCCAAGGGUACUUUGCGUCCUUUGCCAAAGCCUACGAAACGGUGUGUAAGCGCCAGGACAAGGAAUUCUUCGGGCUUCGUGACUACUACAGCCUCAUCAAAAUGGUCUUUGCUGCAGCAAAGGCUUCAAAUAGAAAGCCUUCCCCGCAAGACAUUGCACAGGCUGUCCUUAGGAACUUCAGUGGCAAGGAUGACAUCCAAGCUUUGGACAUCUUUCUGGCCAAUUUGCCCGAGGCCAAGUGCUCAGAGGAAGUCAGCCCCAUGCAGCUGAUCAAACAGAACAUCUUUGGGCCUUCUCAGAAAGUGCCGGGUGGAGAGCAGGAAGAUGCUGAGUCCCGCUACUUACUCGUGCUGACCAAAAACUACGUGGCACUGCAGAUCCUGCAGCAGACAUUCUUCGAGGGGGACCAGCAGCCGGAGAUUAUUUUUGGUUCUGGUUUCCCCAAGGACCAAGAGUACACCCAGCUCUGCAGAAACAUCAAUCGUGUGAAGAUCUGCAUGGAAACAGGCAAGAUGGUGUUGCUUCUCAACCUGCAGAACCUCUACGAGAGCCUCUACGACGCACUCAACCAGUACUACGUCCACCUCGGCGGCCAGAAGUACGUGGACCUCGGUCUGGGGACCCACCGCGUCAAAUGUCGGGUUCACCCCAACUUCCGCCUGAUUGUCAUUGAGGAGAAAGACGUCGUGUACAAACACUUUCCCAUCCCCCUCAUUAACCGGCUGGAGAAGCACUAUCUGGAUAUCAACACGGUGCUGGAGAAAUGGCAGAAGAGCAUCGUGGAGGAGCUCCGUGCGUGGGUGGAGAAGUUCAUCAAUGUCAAAGCAGAUCAUUUCCAGAAGAGGCACAAAUACAGCCCCUCUGACGUCUUCAUCGGCUACCACUCGGACGCCUGCGCGUCUGUGGUGCUGCAGGUCAUAGAGAGGCAGGGUCCCCGGGCCUUGACGGAGGAACUUCACCAGAAGGUGUCUGGGGAGGCCAAAUUGAUCCUGCUAAACUGCGCUACGCCCGACGCCGUGGUCCGGCUGAGCGCCUACUCGCUGGGCGGGUUCGAGGCGGAGUCGCUGUCGCAGGAGUACUUUUACAGACAGAGGCACAACUCCUUUGCAGAUUUCCUUCAGGCACACCUGCACACGGCAGACCUGGGGCGCCACGCCAUCUUCACAGAGAUCACCACUUUCUCCAGGCUGCUAACAAGUCACGACUGUGAAAUUUUAGAAUCAGAGGUCACAGGCAGGGCUCCGAAACCCACACUCCUGUGGCUGCAGCAGUUUGACACCGAGUACUCAUUCCUCAAAGAAGUCCGAAACUGUUUAACGAAUACAGCCAAAUGUAAAAUCCUCAUUUUUCAGACAGAUUUUGAAGAUGGAAUCCGUAGUGCCCAGCUCAUUGCCUCAGCUAAGUAUUCUGUUAUAAAUGAAAUCAACAAAAUACGAGAAAAUGAGGACCGUAUCUUCGUCUAUUUCAUCACAAAACUGUCCCGGGUGGGAAGAGGAACAGCCUAUGUGGGCUUCCACGGAGGGCUGUGGCAGUCUGUCCACAUCGAUGACCUCCGGAGAUCCACCCUCAUGGUUUCUGAUGUGACCAGGCUGCAGCAUGUCACCAUCAGCCAGCUGUUCGCGCCCGGAGACUUGCCUGAGCUGGGCUUGGAACACUGGGCAGAAGACGGCCAUGAGGAGGCGAUGGAAACGGAGGCCAGCACAUCAGGGGAGGUGGCAGAGGUGGCAGAGGAGGCCAUGGAAACAGAAAGUUCUGAGAAGGGGGGAAAGGAAACCUCUGAACUCGGAGGCAGUGAUGUGUCGAUCCUGGACACCACCAGGCUGCUGAGAAGCUGUGUGCAGAGCGCCGUGGGCAUGCUCAGAGACCAGAACGAGAGCUGCACGCGCAAUAUGCGGAGGGUGGUGCUCCUCCUGGGCCUCUUGAAUGAGGAUGACGCGUGCCACGCCUCUUUCUUGCGGGUAUCCAAGAGGCGCCUCAAUGUCCUUUUAAAGAAGCAAGAAGAGAGCCAGUUUCACCCUCUGGAGUGGUUGGCAAGGGAAGCCUGCAACCAGGACGCUCUCCAGGAGGCGGGCACAUUCAGGCACACCCUCUGGAAGCGGGUCCAAGGUGCUGUCACCCCUCUGCUGGCGAGCAUGAUAUCAUUCAUCGACACAGACGGCAACCUAGAGUUACUGACCAGGCCAGAUACUCCGCCCUGGGCAAGAGAUCUUUGGAUGUUUAUUUUCAGUGACACGAUGCUUCUGAACAUUCCUCUUGUGAUGAAUAAUGAAAGACAUAAAGGUGAGAUGGCCUACAUCGUGGUGCAGAACUACAUGAACCUUUCCGAGAACGCUUCCAACAAUGUCCCUUUCAGCUGGAGAAUCAAGGACUAUCUGGAGGAGCUGUGGGCCCAGGCUCAGUACAUCACGGACGCAGAAGGACUGCCCAAGAAGUUUGUGGACAUCUUUCAGCAGACUUCUCUGGGCAGGUUUCUUGCCCAGCUCCAUGGAGAGCCGCAGCAGGAACUUCUUCAGUGUUACUUGAAGGAUUUCAUUCUCUUGACCAUGCGUGUGUCAACGGAGGAGGAAUUAAAGUUUCUGCAGAUGGCUCUGUGGUCCUGCACUAGGAAACUGAAAGCAGCGUCAGAAGCGCCCGAGGAAGAGGUUUCCUUACCGUGGGUGCACCUUGCCUACCAGCGUUUCAGAAGCCAUCUGCAGAACUUUUCCAGAAUCCUGACCAUCUACCCUCAGGUUCUCCACAGCCUGAUGGAAGCCCGUUGGAACCAUGAGCUGGCUGGAUGUGAGAUGACCCUGGACGCGUUUGCCGCAAUGGCCUGCACGGAGAUGCUGACAAGAAACACCCUGAAGCCCAGUCCCCAGGCGUGGCUACAGUUGGUGAAGAAUCUUUCCAUGCCGCUGGAGCUCAUCUGCUCCGAUGAGCACGUGCAAGGCAGCGGGAGCCUGGCCCAGGCUGUCAUCAGGGAAGUCAGAGCCCAGUGGAGUCGGAUUUUCUCCACCGCACUCUUUGUGGAGCACGUGCUCCUAGGAACCGAGAGCCAUGUCCCCGAGUUACAGGGGCUGGUGACCGAGCACGUCUUCUUACUAGACAAGUGUCUUCGAGAGAACUCUGACGUGAAGACGCACGGGCCUUUUGAGGCCGUGAUGCGCACUCUCUGUGAAUGCAAGGAGAUAGCCAGCAAGACCCUCAGCAGGUUUGGGGUUCGGCCGUGCCCCAUCUGCCUGGGAGAUGCAAAGGACCCCGUCUGUCUGCCCUGCGACCACGUGCACUGCCUGCGCUGCCUCAGGGCCUGGUUUGCCUCAGAGCAGAUGAUAUGCCCCUACUGUUUAACUGCCUUGCCAGACGAAUUCUCUCCAGCUGUUUCCCAAGCGCACAGGGAAGCCAUUGAAAAGCAUGCCCGCUUCCGGCAGAUGUGCAACAGUUUCUUCGUAGACCUGGUGUCCACCAUUUGCUUCAAGGACAACGCUCCGCCUGAGAAGGAAGUGAUUGAGAGCCUGCUCUCUCUCCUCUUCGUCCAAAAGGAGCGCUUAAGAGAUGCUCCCCAGAGACACCGUGAACACACAAAAUCUCUCUCUCCAUUCAAUGAUGUUGUGGAUAAGACUCCUGUCAUCCGCUCAGUGAUACUGAAACUGCUUUUGAAGUACAGCUUUCAUGAUGUAAAAGAUUAUAUUCAGGAAUAUUUGACCCUGUUAAGAAAGAAAGCAUUCAUAAUUGAAGAUAAAACUGAACUGUACAUGCUCUUCAUCAACUGCCUGGAGGAUUCAAUACUUGAGAAGACCAGUGCUUACUCCAGAAAUGAUGAACUGAACCACCUAGAAGAGGAAGGUCGUUUCCUUAAGGCGUAUUCUCCAGCAAGCCGUGGCCGAGAGCCUGCCAACGAGGCCUCGGUUGAAUACCUGCAAGAGGUGGCCCGGAUCCGCCUCUGCCUCGACAGAGCUGCAGAUUUCCUCUCGGAGCCUGAGGGAGGCCCAGAGAUGGCCAAGGAGAAGCAGUGCUACCUGCAGCAAGUCAAGCAGUUCUGUAUCCGGGUGGAGAACGACUGGCACCGGGUGUACCUGGUGCGGAAGCUCAGCAGCCAGCAGGGGAUGGAGUUCGUGCAGGGCCUCUCCAAGCCCGGCCGCCCGCACCAGUGGGUGUUUCCCAAGGACGUUGUCAAGCAGCAGGGGCUGCAGCAGGACCACCCAGGCCAGAUGGAUAGGUACCUGGUGUACGGCGAUGAAUACAAGGCUCUCCGUGAUGCUGUGGCCAAAGCUGUCCUCGAGUGCAAGCCACUGGGCAUUAAGACUGCUCUGAAGGCCUGCAAGACCCCCCAAAGCCAGCAGUCAGCCUACUUCCUGUUAACACUGUUUAGAGAGGUGGCUAUUUUGUACAGAUCCCACAAUGCAAGCCUCCACCCCACACCAGAGCAACGUGAAGCUGUGAGCAAAUUCAUUGGCGAAUGCAAGAUCCUUUCACCUCCUGAUAUCAGCCGUUUUGCAACAUCGCUCGUGGACAAUUCUCUGCCACUGUUGAGGGCGGGGCCCAGUGACAGCAACCUUGACGGAACGGUGACAGAAAUGGCCAUUCAUGCUGCAGCCGUCCUUCUGUGUGGACAGAAUGAACUCCUGGGGCCCCUAAAGAAUCUGGCCUUCUCCCCAGCCACCAUGGCGCAUGCUUUUCUUCCAACCAUGCCUGAAGACUUGCUGGCUCAAGCUCGGAGGUGGAAGGGUCUGGAGAGAGUCCACUGGUACACUUGUCCCAACGGCCAUCCUUGCUCCGUGGGAGAGUGUGGCAGGCCGAUGGAACAGAGCAUCUGCAUUGACUGCCAUGCGCCGAUUGGAGGCAUUGACCACAAACCUCGGGACGGCUUUCAUCUGGUCAAAGACAAGGCAGACAGAACGCAGACCGGCCAUGUGCUGGGCAACCCGCAGCGGAGAGACGUGGUGACAUGUGACCGAGGGCUGCCCCCAGUGGUCUUCCUCCUUAUCCGGCUACUCACUCACUUGGCUCUGCUUCUGGGAGCUUCCCAGAGUCCCCAGGCUCUGAUAAACAUCAUUAAGCCUCCAGCGAGGGAUCCAAAAGGCUUUCUGCAGCAGCACAUCCUGAAGGACCUGGAGCAGUUGGCCAAGAUGCUGGGACACAGUGCCGACGAGACCAUCGGCGUGGUCCACCUCGUCCUGCGCAGGCUUCUCCAAGAGCAGCACCAGCUCUCUAGCAGAAGGCUUUUAAAUUUUGACACAGAAUUGUCAACUAAAGAAAUGAGGAACAACUGGGAAAAGGAAAUCGCAGCUGUGAUUUCUCCGGAACUGGAGCAUCUAGAUAAAACCCUUCCCAUCAUGAAUAAUCUCAUCAGCCAAGAUAAGCGUAUCAGCUCUAACCCUGUGGCCAAAAUAAUAUAUGGUGACCCAGUGACCUUCCUGCCCCACCUGCCCCGGAAAAGUGUGGUCCAUUGCUCUAAGAUUUGGAGCUGCAGGAAAAGAAUUACAGUUGAGUACCUCCAGCACAUUGUGGAACAGAAAAAUGGCAAAGAAAGAGUGCCCAUCCUCUGGCAUUUCCUGCAGAAGGAUGUAGCAGAAGACUCAGGGCUAGAGAUCUUCAUACAUAUCAAACAGUACAACUGCCAGAAGCGUAAAGUCACAGACAAAAUACACACCCACGUUGGGAUUAGCAGUGACCUGUGGGGAAGCUGGAGGCCAGGAGAGGACCUCCCCUCAUCACUCAGCCAGACAGAAAAGGAUGCAGCUCUUUCCCAGCCGCUCUGUUCCUCUCUGUCCACAAUGCUGGAGCAUGGGCAGAUCAAACAAAACUCCUCCCUGUGCCUAAGCAUCGAGGCGUACGUGGAAGACGGGAGUGAGUGGGUGUGUGCCGGCGGUGCUGGGGUACUGGGGAGCAGUCAAGUGUACUGGCCACAGCUGUUGGAAUUAGAAAUAUACUUUCCUAACUUUCAUCCAUUUGCACUUGUCUAAACAUUUCUCUCCAUGGACUAUUAUUUGCUGUCUAGCAAGGAUGAAGACGAUUUGGAAACUUCUGUUGGUCAGUUGAGGAGUAUGAGUUCACAAUGACAGGAAGGACUUCCUGUCAAUACUGUGGCCUCUCUCUGAGAUGCAGUUUCACUACGUCGAAGAUGCUUAGAUCCUAGGUCUUCGGAAGGACACCCAGGAAUAAGGCCAGCCCUCGCUGCCUAAGCUCUGGGUCUCUUCUUUCAGCAGCUUCUCUCCGUACCCAGCCAGUUACAUGGGCCCAAGGGACAGAUUUCCUUCAUCAGCCUUUGAUGGACGCAGCUGAUGCGUCAGCUCCAUAGAGGCUGGGCUCCCUCUUCGCCGCCCUCCAUUUCUAGCACACUGCACUGUCUGUAGACUUGUGGGAAGAACUUGUGGGAAGAACUUUUCCCGUUUUCAAGCUCCACGCUGCAUCACAGGAAAUGACACUGAUCAGAUUAAGCUACAAAUACAAGUCUCGCAGCCAGUCUCAAAGUCUGUAUCCCCAAUAACAUUUUUUAGGUAAAUAAAAAUUGUUACCGGGUGGUCUUCCCUUCUCCAGGAAGCAGAGCUGAGGCUGGUAAAGUUCCUGCCUGAGAUUUUGGCCUUGCAAAGGGAUCUAGUGAAGCAGUUCCAGAACGUCCAGCAAGUUGAAUACAGCUCCAUCAGAGGCUUCCUCAGCAAGCACAGCUCAGAUGGGUUGAGGCAGCUGCUUCACAACAGGAUCACAGUCUUUCUGUCGACAUGGAACAAACUGAGGAGAUCACUUGAGACGAACGGUGAGAUCAAGCUACCCAAAAACUACUGCAGCACUGACUUGGAUCUGGACACUGAGUUUGAGAUCCUCUUGCCACGCCGACAGGGCCUGGGCCUCUGUGCUACCGCUCUCGUCAGCUACUUGAUUCGCCUACACAAUGAAAUUGUCUACGCCGUGGAAAAACUCUCCGAGGAAAACAACAGCUAUUCCGUGGAUGCCGCCGAGGUCACUGACCUGCAUGUCAUCAGUUAUGAAGUGGAGCGGGACCUGACUCCACUGAUUCUCUCCAACUGCCAGUACCAGGUGGAGGAAGGCAGAGAGACCGUGCAGGAGUUCGAUCUGGAGAAGAUUCAGCGGCAGAUCGUCAGCCGCUUCCUCCAGGGCAAGCCCCAGCUGAGCCUCAAGGGAAUACCCACUCUGGUGUACAGACACGACUGGAACUAUGAACAUCUCUUUAUGGACAUCAAGAACAAAAUGGCACAGGACUCCCUCCCCAGCUCGGUCAUUAGUGCCAUCAGUGGACAGCUGCAGUCCUACAGCGAUGCCUGUGAAGUGCUAUCUGUCGUAGAAGUCACUCUGGGGUUUCUGAGCACAGCUGGUGGGGAUCCAAACAUGCAGCUGAAUGUGUAUACUCAAGACAUCCUGCAAAUGGGUGAUCAGACGAUUCACGUGUUAAAGGCCUUAAACAGAUGCCAGUUAAAACACACCAUUGCCCUCUGGCAGUUCCUGUCUGCUCAUAAGUCUGAACAGCUGCUGCGGCUGCACAAAGAGCCAUUUGGGGAAAUCAGUUCAAGGUACAAAGCGGAUCUGAGCCCGGAAAAUGCUAAGCUCCUCAGCACAUUCCUAAAUCAGAUUGGCCUAGACGCCUUCCUGCUAGAGCUGCACGAAAUGAUAAUCUUGAAACUAAAGAACCCCCAAACCCAAACCGAGGAGCGCUUCCGCCCUCAGUGGAGCCUGAGAGACACUCUCGUAAGUUACAUGCAAACUAAAGAAAGUGAAAUUCUUCCUGAAAUGGCAUCUCAGUUCCCAGAAGAGAUACUGCUCGCCAGCUGUGUCUCAGUGUGGAAAACAGCUGCUGUGCUGAAAUGGAAUCGAGAAAUGAGAUAGAAUUAUUUCCUCAGCUAUCUUUGGAUGCCUUUGGAGAGAAGACUCCUCUCUCCUCGUCUGCGGCGUGGACUUGAUCAUGGACUGGUGCCUUUGCAUUCAGAAGGAGAGCUGUCAGCGUAGCACCAAAUUCAAGACCAAGGCGUGCUACCUGAGCUGACAGCUUUUUGAAAGCCGAGCUGUUUCUGAACCAUGUACAUACAUGUUCUGAAACUUUCUCAUCAUUUUAUGAGUACUGUUCAUUGGGAGAUGACAAUGAAGAUUAGAUGAAAUUGGAAAUAAACCAACAUUGUUUACAUUCCAGGAGACUUGUAGCUCAGCCACACACGCAGUAAUGACCUGUGCCCGUUCGCCUCUGGCACUGCCCACCCCUCUUUUUUUUUCUUCUAAUUCUGUACUCACAAAAGACAAUCUCGUUUCCUUCUUUCUUCCAUUCCCUUAAAUUCUGAGUAUUGUACAUAUAUUUCUGGGUUCCCGCGAUGAUGUGAAAAACUACCACUGUUUUUUGUCUUCUCACAAAGACAAGAAAAAUCAGGGCAUUUUGUGAGUGCCUUAAGAUCAAACUAACAAGAUCUGACCCUCUCCCCUCACAGUGAGCCACUGCCCCACUUCAGAGGGUAAGAGCCAAAAGCCUCAUUGUGAAAGGCACUGGACUUGGACCAGGGACACCAUCAGGGCCUUGGUUUUCUCACGCAUAAAAUGGAGAGUGGAUUAAUCGCCAAAGAUUCUUCUGAUCUAACAUUUUGAAAUUAUAAGAGAAACUAGAUGACUGUAAACUUGGUCACAGGCCUGGUUCUGGCAGUUCUUUGCGGACUUUUUUCUAGCAUUAUGCCAAAUAAACAUGCAGUCUCAGUGUGCUCUCGCA